GAUGAACGCUGGCGGCGUGCCUAAUACAUGCCAGUCGAGCGAACAGACGAGGAGCUUGCUCCUCUGACGUUAGCGGCGGACGGGUGAGUAACACGUGGAUAACCUACCUAUAAGACUGGGAUAACUUCGGGAAACCGGAGCUAAUACCGGAUAAUAUAUUGAACCGCAUGGUUCAAUAGUGAAAGACGGUUUUGCUGUCACUUAUAGAUGGAUCCGCGCCGCAUUAGCUAGUUGGUAAGGUAACGGCUUACCAAGGCAACGAUGCGUAGCCGAGCUGAGAGCGUGAUCGGCCACACUGGAACUGAGACACGGUCCAGACUCCUACGGUAGGCAGCAGUAGGGAAUCUUCCGCAAUGGGCGAAAGCCUGACGGAGCAACGCCGCGUGAGUGAUGAAGGUCUUCGGAUCGUAAAACUCUGUUAUUAGGGAAGAACAAAUGUGUAAGUAACUAUGCACGUCUUGACGGUACCUAAUCAGAAAGCCACGGCUAACUACGUG
rnacentral:rRNA from 1 species